UACGUGAGGGGCGAACGUUGUUCGGUGUCACUGGGCUUAAAGCGCACGUAGGCGGCUUUGUAAGUUAGAGGUGAAAGCCCAGGGCUCAACCCUGGAAUUGCCUUUAAGACUGCAUCGCUUGAACAUCGGAGAGGUAAGUGGAAUUCCGAGUGUAGAGGUGAAAUUCGUAGAUAUUCGGAAGAACACCAGUGGCGAAGGCGACUUACUGGACGAUUGUUGACGCUGAGGUGCGAAAGCGUGGGGAGCAAACAGG
rnacentral:rRNA from 1 species